rnacentral:rRNA from 1 species
GACGAACGCUGGCGGCGUGCCUAAUACAUGCAAGUUGAGCGCUGAAGGUUGGUACUUGUACCAACUGGAUGAGCAGCGAACGGGUGAGUAACGCGUGGGGAAUCUGCCUUUGAGCGGGGGACAACAUUUGGAAACGAAUGCUAAUACCGCAUAAAAACUUUAAACACAAGUUUUAAGUUUGAAAGAUGCAAUUGCAUCACUCAAAGAUGAUCCCGCGUUGUAUUAGCUAGUUGGUGAGGUAAAGGCUCACCAAGGCGAUGAUAAAUAGCCGACCUGAGAGGGUGGUCGGCCACAUUGGGACUGUGACACGGCCCAAACUCCUACGGGAGGCAGCAGUAGGGAAUCUUCGGCCAUGGACGAAAGUCUGACCGAGCAACGCCGCGUGAGUGAAGAAGGUUUUCGGAUCGUAAAACUCUGUUGGUAGAGAAGAACGUUGGUGAGAGUGGAAAGCUCAUCAAGUGACGGUAACUACCCAGAAAGGGACGGCUAACUACGUG